rnacentral:rRNA from 1 species
AGAGUUUGAUCAUGGCUCAGAACGAACGCUGGCGGCAUGCUUCAUACAUGCAAGUCGAACGUGAAAGACCUUCGGGUCAAGUAAAGUGGCGCACGGGUGAGUAACGCGUAGAUAAUCUGCCCCGCUGUCUGGGAUAACCUUCCGAAAGGGAGGCUAAUACCGGAUAACACGAUUUCUUUUGAGGGAGUCGUUGAAAGUUGCGGCGCAACGGGAUGAGUCUGCGUCCCAUUAGCUAGUUGGUGGGGUAAAGGCCUACCAAGGCGACGAUGGGUAGCGGGUUUGAGAGGACGAUCCGCCACACUGGAACUGAGACACGGUCCAGACUCCUACGGGAGGCAGCAGUAGGGAAUCUUGCGCAAUGGGCGAAAGCCUGACGCAGCAAUGCCGCGUGAGUGAAGAAGGCCCUCGGGUCGUAAAGCUCUUUAUCUUCGGGAAGAUGAUGACGGUACCGAAGGAAGAAGCACCGGCUAACUACGUGCCAGCAGCCGCGGUAAUACGUAGGGUGCAAGCGUUGUUCGGAAUCACUGGGCGUAAAGGGCGUGUAGGCGGAACGAUUAGCGAGGGGUGAAAUCCCGGGGCUCAACCCCGGAACUGCUCUUCGAACUGUCGAUCUAGAGAAGGUCAGGGGCCGGCGGAAUUCCUGGUGUAGAGGUGAAAUUCGUAGAGAUCAGGAGGAACAUCGGAGGCGAAGGCGGCCGGCUGGGGCCAUUCUGACGCUGAGGCGCGAAAGCGUGGGGAGCAAACAGGAUUAGAUACCCUGGUAGUCCACGCCGUAAACGAUGGGUACUAGGUGUCCGGGAUGUUCGACCAUUCUGGGUACCGCAGCUAACGCAGUAAGUACCCCGCCUGGGAAGUACGGUCGCAAGACUAAAACUCAAGGAAUUGACG